rnacentral:rRNA from 1 species
UACGUAGGGCGCAAGCGUUAUCCGGAAUUAUUGGGCGUAAAGAGCUCGUAGGCGGUUUGUCGCGUCUGCUGUGAAAACCCGAGGCUCAACCUCGGGCCUGCAGUGGGUACGGGCAGACUAGAGUGCGGUAGGGGAGAUUGGAAUUCCUGGUGUAGCGGUGGAAUGCGCAGAUAUCAGGAGGAACACCGAUGGCGAAGGCAGAUCUCUGGGCCGUAACUGACGCUGAGGAGCGAAAGGGUGGGGAGCAAACAGGCUUAGAUACCCUGGUAGUCCACCCCGUAAACGUUGGGAACUAGUUGUGGGGUCCAUUCCACGGAUUCCGUGACGCAGCUAACGCAUUAAGUUCCCCGCCUGGGGAGUACGGCCGCAAGGCUAAA